rnacentral:rRNA from 1 species
UACGAAGGGGGCUAGCGUUGUUCGGAAUUACUGGGCGUAAAGCGCGCGCAGGCGGCUUGGCAAGUCGAUGGUGAAAGCCCGGAGCUCAACUCCGGAACGGCCAUUGAAACUGCUUGGCUUCGAGUACGGGAGAGGUGAGUGGAAUUCCCAGUGUAGAGGUGAAAUUCGUAGAUAUUGGGAAGAACACCAGUGGCGAAGGCGGCUCACUGGCCCGUUACUGACGCUCAGGCGCGACAGCGUGGGGAUCAAACAGG